rnacentral:lncRNA from 1 species
UUAAGCCUUCUGUAGCUGUUGGUCCAGUGCAAAAAGGAUGAGAAAUACAAUUCCCAUUGGGGCAGGGGAGCAGCAACACUCAGAGGAAAGUUCAGGUGGGAUCUGCGGUCCUGUGCAACUGAGUCGCUGUCCAUUAUGAAGAGCUCCUGAGGAAACCCGGCUGUGCCCUCCGCUAAUCUCACCCCUCCGAGCUGGGUGCCCCACGAUGGGACGGGACCGUCCGCACGGCCCGGGGCUGCCUGGCUGCGGGUAAUCCACGCAAGGAUUGUGCUCCCAUGUGCAGUAAUCACCCUGCACAAUUUGGCAGCAGUGUUAUCGGCACUGACCGGUGUCUGGAGUGAAACAAGUAAGACUUUAGGAGGUGACUUCCAUUUUGUGACUGCAGCACUUCAGCAUGUGGCUGCCUUCAUUUACUGGAGUAUGCUGGCCAAGACUGCCUUGUUUGUGGAUUACCCAGGUGUGUAUUUUCACUUUUUAAAUCAAAAGACUGUGUGGACUGGCCCAGCAGAGAUGUUAAAUUUAACCUGAUUCUAGUCUAAGAUAGACCUGAGUAAGGUUUAGUUUAAACAAACCCACUGUUUGCUCGGCUUUUGCCUUUGCUGGCUGACCUGAUUUAGGAUCGCGUAUUGUGUUGAGCCAGUAAAACUGUGUCUGUAGCCAAACCAUGUGUGCACAAUACAGUCCAUGUUGCCCUGUUGCCAGUUGUUCCUCCAGCAGUGGGUGCAGUGUGGGCUUUCAGCUGUGGAUCUCUUGGCCUUGGAAGUGGACCCUGCCAAGAUGCAGGUAUUGAAUGAAGCACCACAAUGG